CGAACGGGUGAGUAACACGUGGGCAAUCUGCCCUGCACUCUGGGACAAGCCCUGGAAACGGGGUCUAAUACCGGAUACUGACCCGCUUGGGCAUCCAAGCGGUUCGAAAGCUCCGGCGGUGCAGGAUGAGCCCGCGGCCUAUCAGCUUGUUGGUGAGGUAAUGGCUCACCAAGGCGACGACGGGUAGCCGGCCUGAGAGGGCGACCGGCCACACUGGGACUGAGACACGGCCCAGACUCCUACGGGAGGCAGCAGUGGGGAAUAUUGCACAAUGGGCGAAAGCCUGAUGCAGCGACGCCGCGUGAGGGAUGACGGCCUUCGGGUUGUAAACCUCUUUCAGCAGGGAAGAAGCGAAAGUGACGGUACCUGCAGAAGAAGCGCCGGCUAACUACGUGCCAGCAGCCGCGGUAAUACGUAGGGCGCGAGCGUUGUCCGGAAUUAUUGGGCGUAAAGAGCUCGUAGGCGGCUUGUCACGUCGGUUGUGAAAGCCCGGGGCUUAACCCCGGGUCUGCAGUCGAUACGGGCAGGCUAGAGUUCGGUAGGGGAGAUCGGAAUUCCUGGUGUAGCGGUGAAAUGCGCAGAUAUCAGGAGGAACACCGGUGGCGAAGGCGGAUCUCUGGGCCGAUACUGACGCUGAGGAGCGAAAGCGUGGGGAGCGAACAGGAUUAGAUACCCUGGUA
rnacentral:rRNA from 1 species